GAUGAAGAACGUAGUGAAAUGCGAUACGUAAUGUGAAUUGCAGAAUUCAGUGAAUCAUCGAAUCUUUGAACGCACAUUGCACUCUCUGGUAUUCCGGAGAGUAUGCUUGUUUGAGUAUCUGUAAACAUCUCAAAUCUCUCUUCAAUUGCUUCAAUUGGGUCGAGAGAAUUGGAUUUGAGCGAUCCCGACUCCUUCGUCAGAAAGAGGAGGGUCGCUUGAAAUGCAGGUGCAGCUGGACAUUCUUCUGAGCAAAAAGCAUAUCUAUUUAGUCCCGUCAAACGGAUUAUUACUUUUGCUUCAGCUAAUAUAAAGGUUGAAUGAACUACCAACGCUGAUUGCAGGAAAACAUGUUCGUUUAUUCGGACUUGUAAACUCGAUCUCAAAUCAAGUAAGACUACCCGCUGAACUUAAGCAUAUCAAUAAGCGGAGGA
rnacentral:misc_RNA from 1 species